rnacentral:rRNA from 1 species
GAAUAACCUUCCGAAAGGAGGGNUAAUACCGAAUAAUAUUCUUAUUCCGCAUGGAAUUAGAAUCAAAGGUGGCGCCGAAAGGGCUAUCACUUGAGGAUGGACCCGCGUCCUAUCAGCUUGUUGGUGAGGUAAUGGCUCACCAAGGCAUUUGACGGGUAGCUGUUCUAAGAGGAUGAUCAGCAACACUGGGACUGAGACACUGCCCAGACUCCUACGGGAGGCUGCAGUCGAGAAUCUUUACCAAUGCCCGAAAGGGUGAGUAUGCGACGCCGCGUGCAGGACGACGGCCUUAGGGUUGUAAACUGCUUUCAGGAGUGAGGAAACCUCAUGUGCUAAUACCACUUGAAUUGACGUUAACUCCAGAAGAAGCCACGGCUAACUCUGUGCCAGCAGCCGCGGUAAUACAGAGGUGGCAAGCGUUGUUCGGAUUUAUUGGGUGUAAAGGGCAAGUAGGCGGUUAUGUAAGUCUGUUGUGAAAUCCCGGGGCUCAACCCCGGAACUGCAAUAGAAACUGCAUAGCUGGAGCAUCAGAGAGGUAAGGGGAAUUCUAGGUGUAAGGGUGAAAUCUGUAGAUAUCUAGAGGAAUACCGAUGGCGAAGGCACCUUACUGGCUGAUUGCUGACGUUGAAUUGCGAAAGCUGGGGGAGCAAACAGGAUUAGAUACCCUGGUAGUCCCAGCCAUAAACGAUGUAGAUUAGGUGUCGGGGGAGUCGAUCCCUUCGGCGCCGUAGUUAACACAUUAAAUCUACCACCUGGGGAGUACGGUCGCAAGACUGAAACUCAAAUGAAUUGACGG